GGGGAUGUAGCUCAAUGGUAGAGCCCUUGCCUAGCAUGCAUGAAGCCCUAGGUUUGAUCCCCAGUACCCCCC
rnacentral:tRNA from 1 species